rnacentral:rRNA from 1 species
GAUGAACGCUGGCGGCGUGCCUAAUACAUGCAAGUCGAGCGAACAGACUAGUAUCUUGCUCCUCUGACGUUAGCGGCGUACGGGUGAGUAACACGUGGAUAACUUACCUAUAAGACUGGGAUAACUUCGGGAAACCGGAGCUAAUACCGGAUAAUAUAUUGAACCGCAUGGUUCAAUAGUGAAAGACGGUUUUGCUGUCACUUAUAGAUGGAUCCGCGCCGCAUUAGCUAGUUGGUAAGGUAACGGCUUACCAAGGCAACGAUGCGUAGCCGACCUGAGAGGGUGAUCGGCCACACUGGAACUGAGACACGGUCCAGACUCCUAAGGGAGGCAGCAGUAGGGAAUCUUCCGCAAUGGGCGAAAGCUUGACGGAGCAACGCCGCGUGAGUGAUGAAGGUCUUCGGAUCGUAAAACUCUGUUAUUAGGGAAGAACAAAUGUGUAAGUAACUAUGCACGUCUUGACGGUACCUAAUCAGAAAGCAACGGCUAACUACGUG